ensembl:lncRNA
AUGGUACGAGAAGCCAAGCAGAAGGUUGCUGUAUUAGGAUGCGUAGAGUGGAGAGGAAAACCAGAAUCCUUUCUCAGGUCGUGUGAGAGACUUCCAGAAGCUGCAGCAAAGCAAUCAGUGAGCACGCAGCAUUGUACUGGGCAGAAUCAGCAUCCUCCAUCGUACGUUAGAAGGCACUGCAGGAAGAAAGCUGCUGGUGAUACAUCCUGGCUGGACUGGUGGGGAUCUGUGGCUUCAAAGCAUGAGGAAUUCAUCUGCUGUAUGGUUCUGCUCACUGGGAAGUUGCACAUGGCUAUGAUAUAUAGCACAGAACUGAUUGUGAAGCUUCUACAUGACCGUGACAUUUUUCCAGUGUACCAGCACUGAAAAAAGUUUCAAUUCAAGUGUGAAUUUAAGAGCUAGGUGAAAGAACAUGUUCCUUUUCGCACCAGGGAAGAUCAGUCAAUAAAAACAGAUUAAAUGAAACAUUAAGUGCAGCACUCCCAAGCACAAGAAAAAUGAUGCCAAGAUCAAAAAAGAGUAUCUCAUUUCAGAAAUACCUCCCUUCCUCUCCACAGUUAGAUGCAAUCGCAGAGCAGAACGUAACUAAAAGGAUUCCGAGCAUCCAUCAAAGAGAACAGCACCCCAGAUCAGAGCUGGGAAAGGACUGUUCCCUUCUUCCUCCAAAACAUUUCAUUAUCUACAUUCCUGAUUGAUUAGGAGAUCCCUUUUUAGAGAGGAUGGAGGACAUCCAACAGGCACGUGUGCCUCCAGGUGCCUCCUGCACAGACCUUUCCAUGCACAUCUAUUCUAGGUUCACAACACCCACUGUAAAUCUCCCCCUUCUUCCACCUCAGCUUGUAUAAGCUGCUACCUACCCACUCUUUUAGAUUAUGCAUAGCAACAUGAUGGAGAAAACAGAAACAGAGAGUUUGGGGAUGAUUUCCCUCCCUCCACUCUUUGUUUGGUUUUCUGGAACUAUUUCAUCCCAAACAUUUGUAAAUAGUGCCUGGAGUUACAUUCCGAGUUCCAGCAGUAAACACUAAACUAGCUAAUAUAUAUAGACAGAUCUCUGCUCUUCCAGUGUAUCCAGGCAACUCUGCAACACAAAGUUAAAGCACAGCUAUUUGUUCAAAAAGUGUUUUCACAGCUAUUUCCUCUUCCCCCCCCUUGACUUUUUCCACUAGGCGCUACUUGUAUUUAUCAUCUGGAGAUUCGGUUCCCUUUUUCCCUUUUAAAAUCCAUGCAAAAACUCAUUUUAAGAGUGGCAAGGCACAGACAUUUGCUUUGCAAUGAACUUUGAUUUAGGGCAUGAAGAAGGAAGGAAAAAGAGUAAAAAUUCCACAAGAGCACCUGAACGUUACUCCUCUCAAACAUACUUGUAACUCUGGAAACAAAAUCAUUUCCAAAUGCUAAUACCAUAGGAACACAGAAGUAUUUACACAGAUACUAAAGCAAGCAGGAAAGGCAGCUUGUUGUAUCCCACCUAACAGUAGUUGAAGUUCCCUCAGAGAACAUAGGUUAGGUUGAACUGUUGUUUUUCCAAAGGAAAACAUCAAUUUUUAUUAAAUUUUCCUAUUGAGAAAGCUUUGGAGCAAAGCCAGCAUCUCAAAAUGAAGUGUUUUACAUUUCAAAAUGUCAAUUCAAAAUGAAAAUAGUUACUUUGAUAUAUUGAGUUUAUUUUCAUAGAAAAUGUUGGUGUUUUAUGUUGAUACGGCAAUCUUCUGUAGGGAACCUGCUUCAGAAGGGGGUUGGACUAGAUGACCUCCAGAGGUCCCUUCCAAUCCCUAUAACAAUGUGAUACUUAUUUGAAAAAUCUCUUUGGAAUAUCGUUUUUCUGUUAUAUAGUUCAAAAUUUCACCUUUUUGCUUCCUACUCUGAUUAGAAACCUAUAUUCCUACUGUUAAAGCUUUCUGCUGUAGUAAAAAGUCUAUUUGCUGAACAUUCCCUGCACUAAGUGCUAUUUUCUUUUCAUUUAGUGCUCUACAGCAGAUAGCUGAAGAGUUUCUUUUAAUCUGAAUAGUACUGAAAUAUUCACUUUAAAAAAACCCACAGAAAUCUUUAUCACUUUCAGCCUUUGGGGUAGAGGAGGGAAGGAGAAAAAAUAAGGAAAAUUAUCUGAAGAUUCUCAUGCCAUUUUUCAGACUGUAACCUCGGUUCUUUCCAACUAUCUGCAGCUACACAG